CUAUCAGCUUGUUGGUGAGGUAAUGGCUCACCAAGGCAACGACGGGUAGCCGGCCUGAGAGGGCGACCGGCCACACUGGGACUGAGACACGGCCCAGACUCCUACGGGAGGCAGCAGUGGGGAGUAUUGGGCAAUGGACGCAAGUCUGACCCAGCGACGCCGCGUGCGGGAUGAAGGCCUUCGGGUUGUAAACCGCUUUCAGCAGGGAAGAAGCGAAAGUGACGGUACCUGCAAAAGAAGCACCGGCUAACUAUGUGCCAGCAGCCGCGGUAAUACAUAGGGUGCAAGCGUUGUCCGGAAUUAUUGGGCGUAAAGAACUCGUAGGUUGUUUGUUACGUCGGAUGUGAAAAUCUGGGGCUCAACCCCAGACCUGCAUUCGAUACGGGUGAACUAGAGUUUGGUAGGGGAGACUGGAAUUCCU
rnacentral:rRNA from 1 species